AUUUCUUACAGGCAGAACCCUUGAUGGGCCUUGGGUGUGUUGAAUUGGCCUGCUUCCAGGAAGGGCUACAAGUUCUGCGCUGCUGCAGUUGAAUUGGUGGGGUCACGGACAGGGACUCCAGUUCUUUGGCUCUGAAGUUUGAAUCUGAGAAUGCUGGUGACGUCUUCAGGAGGACCUUCCUCAUUAGAAUGCUCGACAGUCUCAGUCCAGGGCGGCUCGGUGGCCACAAACAGCGACAGCCUCAGGGUCUGCG
rnacentral:lncRNA from 1 species